UGUCGAGUGAAACGAGGCUGCGAUCUUUUGAUCUUGAUUUUUUAAGAUCAAAAGAUCGCAGCCUCGUUUCACUCGACA
rnacentral:misc_RNA from 1 species